CAGGCCCUGUACAACGUGUGUUCUCUGAGACUGCCAUUUCUAAUGGCUGGUAGUGUGUUGGACAUAAAUUUCAUGCUUGGUAAAUCAGCUGAUAAUUCCGUUUGUAUAAGAAAUGCAGCCUUAAUGAGGAUUUUCACUUUCCUGUAAAUCUGAUAAGUUCAGUGUUGAUUCCAAGUGUGAAUAACAACAUAGGAAUACUUUGUUCCUUACUUUGUGCCUUAGUGACCACUAAAUAUGUGUAUUGGGUGUAGAAGCUUACCUGGUUUUUAUGUGCUGAUUUGUUAUCCCUGGCUUACAAAACCGAUAAUUUAACAAUGGUUUUGAGUUCGUUUCAUGGUGUUGCAAAACUACCGCGUGGAGAAAUCACAUUGUGGUUUCUAUUCACAAAAUGGCGUUGGCCGUUCAACGAUUUCUGUCGGUUCGCUUGCGCUUCGGACAUCGAUCAGGUAGUUUAUGCACAUUGUGAAUUUUGGGCUGUGAUGUUUUAAGCAUAUGUCUGAUUAACCGCAAGGUUAUGAUGUAACCCAGGAUGCUGAGCUCUAUUCAAUUUCAUAUUUGGUCUGCAUUUUCAGUAGCUGUAGCUUUUCCACUUUUCCUUCAUGGUUUGCCGAUGUGGGUGUUGUGUCGUAACACUUUUAUGACGCCGUUUCACGCAGGUAAUGGUUCUCUUUCAUUUCCCUGAACCCCGAUCGCCACGCGUCCUUCCUAUACCAUAGGAUGAGAUGUGAUAUAAUUACGCAAGGAAGAUGUGACAUAGCCAUGUACUUAGCGAACGAAUUUAUAUCUUGUAUAGGUUGUGCGGAGGUGACAUUUUUUGCGGUGUACAUUCAAAUGACCUUUAUGUUCUUAUGUGUGUUUGCUAGCUGAUUGUAGUUGGCCGUUGGUGUUCCUUUGGAGUUGUGUCAUACUAAAAUCACCAAACAGCAGGAACAAAAUGUGCAGGACCAGUAGGUAAGCAAUAUUAGUACUAUUUUAGACCAUAAAGCAUAUAAAUAUCAAAUGUUGAUAUUGGUUGGUUAUGCGUUUUGAGGCCUCUGUCCAUACAGCUUACAAAUUCUAGUCGUAUUUGGGGUAUUUUAGCUUUGAAAAUAUGAUUAUAGGGGUCAUAUCGAUGCAGUUGCGCGUCAUAAGGCAAGUUUUGCAAGUAUUGCAAUAGUUUUUCCAAUUCGAUUGAUUUUGGUUAUAAAUGGAUAGACCAGAUACCGCUGCUACGUCUGUAUUUAAUUUGUUCUUGUGUAAGCUAGCAAAACAAUUUUUUGAGUGUUGGUUGAAUGAUAUCCAAUACUGUCCAUCAAUAAUUAA